ACCCACGGUCAUGCUUGACACAAACAUAGAUACUUGUCACCAUGCCUAUACAUCGUACUCAACAAAGAGCAAUUAGCACAUAUAACUCAAAUCCUUAGACCGAACACUUACCUAUAUAUCUUGAAUUCAAUUCAAGCCUCUUAUAGCCUUUCCCCUUGGUUCCACCACGAAUCCGCUGGAAUCUAAUCGUAAGUUACUUAAUCUCAUUAAAAUGCUAAAUGAAUCAAUCUUGAUGCAUGAAAAUAAGUUUUACAAAGUUUUACCAUGAAAGGUCAAAAAUUCCCCUGGGCCUACGUG
rnacentral:lncRNA from 1 species